rnacentral:lncRNA from 1 species
CUGGAUUACUGUACUUAUUUUUAUUAUUUCACAAAUACGAAAGACAAAAGUUCUAAUGCAGCCACAUCAAAAUUACAAUAAGCAUAUACUCACUCUUAGUCCUGGAAAUCCUGGAGGACCAACACCACCAACAAUUCCAGGAUUCCCAUCUGGCCCUGGGGGACCUCUGUCUCCGAAGUCACCUGGAAAACCCUGUCUCCCUUUAGGGCCUCUUUUUCCAUGGAAGCCUGGAAUGCCCCUUUCUCCUUCAGAUCCUCUUUGUCCUGCCACACCUGGAGGUCCAAUGAAACCCCUUGCACCUUUAGGGCCUGGGUUACCUUCUGGUCCAGCUAAGCCCUGCCUGCCAGGGUAACCAACUGCCCCAACGUUGCCAGCCAUUCCUGGAACUCCCUGCUCACCCCGUGGCCCUUGCAGUCCCAUAAAACCUUUAUGACCCUUCUGGCCUUUGAUCCCUGGUGGUCCUGAAAAGCCUAUUGGGCCUGGAUCACCCUUUUCUCCACGUUUUGCCUUUCCUGGGGAGAAUCCUGGGUCCCCUUUAGGGCCCUUUGGACCUGGCAAUCCUGGCAAACCUGGAUUACCAUGUGGUCCUGGCAUAC